GCAAGUCGAGCGAGAAUUUUAUGAACGAAACUUCGGUCUAGUGAUUAAGAGGAAAGCGGCGGACGGGUGAGUAACGCGUAGGCAACCUGCCCCAUACAGAGGGAUAGCCUCGGGAAACCGGGAUUAAAACCUCAUAAUGCUGGGAGUUCACAUGAACACCUAGCCAAAGAUUUAUCGGUAUGGGAUGGGCCUGCGUCUGAUUAGCUAGUUGGUAAGGUAACGGCUUACCAAGGCAACGAUCAGUAGCCGACCUGAGAGGGUAAUC
rnacentral:rRNA from 1 species